UAUCUGCCCGACCGAUUCACCGAUCAUCUGCCGUGCCGCACAGAGCAACCGUCCGGCUCGGCCUGCACCGAGACCCACAGCCCAGGGCCGCGCACACACAGCCAUGAGCGGCUGCCGCGUCUUCAUCGGGAGGCUGAACCCGGCCGCCAGGGAGAAGGAUGUGGAGAGGUUCUUCAAGGGGUACGGCCGCAUCCGCGACAUCGACCUGAAGAGGGGCUUCGGCUUCGUGGAGUUUGAGGAUCCGAGGGAUGCAGAUGAUGCUGUUUAUGAAUUGGAUGGAAAAGAACUUUGCAGUGAGAGGGUGACCAUUGAGCAUGCCAGAGCACGCUCGAGGGGCAGAGGCAGAGGGAGGUACUCUGACCGGUUCAGUAGCCGCCGCCCGCGCAGUGACAGGAGAAAUGCCCCACCUCUAAGAACAGAAAAUCGCCUCAUAGUGGAAAAUUUGUCUUCUCGUGUCAGCUGGCAGCCUAUCUGUGUCGUUGGCCUUAUGACGAGGAGUGCCUGUGGGUUAUCCUAAUCGUUCUGUCUUGGUCACUCUUGGUCGGGCCUGGUUGACUUUCCAGUCAGCUCCUACAAUGUCACUUGGCCACCUCUAGAUCUGUGUUUGCCGGUCUAGACGUAAUCGAUGCACUCCUUAAAGUGCCACAUUGCAGCGGUCCCAGAGCGUUAACGAGAUCUGAUUCCUAAGUUGAGAGCUGUUCUUCCUGUAACGCUUCCGAAUAACGAGGUCCUGGUCGAAAAGAGUUGAAAGAUUGGAAAUUAGGUGGUCGUUGGAAUCCUGAUCGCAGUAAAGUGGUCCUUGGUGACAUCAAGCAUAGAGAAUGGAUCCAUCCAUAGUCUCCUGAUAGGGAGGGCAGUGCGAUUAAUGGCUUCCAUCGACUGGGUAGUGUUCGGCAAGUGGGUGGCGAAGAGCCAGUCGGGCAUAUGUCAUGACGGUAUCUCCGGUCGCUUAAUGCAGUUUGCUGCUUGGCUAGCCUAGGGAAAUGUUUAUAAAGGUAAAGUAAACUAUAUUUUUAAUGACAUAUGGGGCACAAAAUAAUUGGUGUUAUGUAAAUGUAAUUUUGUAUUCAUAUAAGACUUGUAAUGUAAAUGGAGACUGAAACAGUCCAAAAAUAUAUGGGUAGUAUUUCAAAGUCAAUUCAGUAGAUAUAAAAAUGUGCUUUUUAUUUCUUUUUUUCUCUCUCUUUCUUUCUCUUUGUUAUUUAAUCUAUAAAAUCAUUUUAGACUAAUAUUUACCUUAAUGUUAAGACCCUUUAUUAGCAUUUUGCUUAAAGCAAUAUGCUUUUCUCAUUUAUUUCGUGCCCUGAUACAGAUCAUGAUACAGAUAAUGCAGUUUUGAUUACAAGUAUGGCAGUUGCCAUGUAUGUGAUUUAUCUAACAACUUCUCUUUCAGUAGUCAUAAAUUUCUUUUGUUUGCUUUAAACUACUUUUGUAUAAGUAAAUGUUAAUUUCACUUCUUUGCGUAACAAAAGUGGUCUUGUGUUAGGAUCUCAAAGACUUCAUGAGGCAAGCCGGGGAAGUAACCUUUGCAGAUGCACACAGACCUAAGUUAAAUGAAGGGGUGGUUGAAUUUGCCUCUUACAGUGAUUUAAAGAAUGCUAUUGAAAAGCUUUCUGGUAAAGAAAUUAACGGAAGGAAAAUCAAACUAAUUGAAG